UACGGAGGGAGCUAGCGUUGUUCGGAAUUACUGGGCGUAAAGCGCACGUAGGCGGCUUUGUAAGUUAGAGGUGAAAGCCUGGAGCUCAACUCCAGAAUUGCCUUUGAUACUGCAUGGCUUGAAUCCAGGAGAGGUGAGUGGAAUCCCGAGUGUAGAGGUGAAAUUCGUAGAUAUUCGGAAGAACACCAGUGGCGAAGGCGGCUCACUGGACUGGUAUUGACGCUGAGGUGCGAAAGCGUGGGGAGCAAACAGG
rnacentral:rRNA from 1 species